CCUUUUUAAUUGGAUCAGAGUCUGAAAAAACUCGAAAAUUGUGUGUUGUCUAUCAGCUUCAUCUCUUGUUUAACCCACGAGACUGGAGUUAAAUAACAGCACGACAUUU